rnacentral:pre_miRNA from 1 species
AAUGUACUCCCUCCAUCCGAAAAUACUUAUCGAAGAAAUGCAUAAAAAUGAAUGUAUGUAGAACUAAAAUACAUCUAGAUACAUCCAUUCCUUCGACGAGUAUUUCCGGACGGAAGGAGUAUUUG